rnacentral:rRNA from 1 species
UACGUAGGGCGCGAGCGUUGUCCGGAUUUAUUGGGCGUAAAGAGCUCGUAGGCGGCUUGUCGAGUCGGCCGUGAAAACUCGGGGCUUAACUCCGGGCCUGCAGUGGGUACGGGCAGACUAGAGUGCGGUAGGGGAGACUGGAAUUCCUGGUGUAGCGGUGAAAUGCGCAGAUAUCAGGAGGAACACCGGUGGCGAAGGCGGGUCUCUGGGCCGUAACUGACGCUGAGGAGCGAAAGCGUGGGGAGCGAACAGG